CUGGGUGAAGGGCCAAGGUAGAGAUCAAGGCUGAAUUUGUAAAGUCAUAAUGGAGGAAUUUAAAAGGUGAGAAGCCUGAUAAUCAAGGGUGUGGGACAUGUAGGCAGUAUGAGAAGGGGUUGAUGGAAGCUUACUGACUGGUCAAGGCAGUGCAAGAAGUUUAACCUGUCUGGAAAUAUGGGGACAAGAACUGGAAAGGGCAGUCUGUGCAUGAAGAUUCCAGGAGAAGCCUGAUGAUGGAAAACCUUAAAAUCACAUCGAGUACAGAUGGGGUUUCACCAUGUUCGCCAGGAUGGUCUCGAUCUCCUGACCUCGUGAUCUGUCCACCUCUGCCUCCCAAAGUGCUGAGAUUACAGGUGUGAGCCACCACUCCCAGCCUUUGUCAUCAUUUCAGAUAGGGUGAAGGAAUGGUUUAAGUCGCCUCCAAGGCCAUGGAAGUUGAACCACUUUCAGACUAUGUCCUUGGCUUAUGGGGAGAUUUUUCUAAUCUCAGUUCAUUGGUACUUUCAAAGUUACUUCCGGAUUACAGUGCAUUCACUCCUGUCCUAUGAAGGUGUCCAGGUUAUUGGAUAAAACAAAAGUGUUAUGAUUUUAUAAAAGGAGACACAAGAGUAGAAGGACAAAGCUGACUCUUUCAUAGGAGAACUGGAAAAUAUGUAAAAUGGAAGGAAGACUGAUAUAACCCUAGAUUUAGUUAUUAUUUCAUCUGUCUACAUGGUAAUGCAAUAAAAAAUUGUGUCAACCCCA
rnacentral:lncRNA from 1 species